rnacentral:rRNA from 1 species
UAUCUCUGUAGAGUCUGCAUAUCAAUAAGCGGAGGAAAAGAAACUAACAAGGAUUCCCUUAGUAACGGCGAGUGAAGCGGGAAGAGCUCAAAUUUGAAAUCUUCAAGGUUUUACCUUGACGAAUUGUAGUUUAAAGAAGUGUUUUCUGUUGAAGUUUCGGUAAAAGUUCUUUGGAAUAGGACAUCAUAGAGGGUGAGAAUCCCGUAUUUGACCGUUAUUUUCAGCUGUGUGAUACACUUUCAAAGAGUCGGAUUGUUUGGGAAUGCAGUCCAAAAUGGGUGGUAAAUCUCAUCUAAAGCUAAAUAUAGGCGAGAGACCGAUAGCGAACAAGUACCGUGAGGGAAAGAUGAAAAGAACUUUGAAAAGAGAGUUAAACAGUACGUGAAAUUGUCAAAAGGGAAGCGUUUGACACCAGUGUUGUUUUCUCGAAAAUCAAUUAAAAAAAUGCCUGAUUUUGUGUUGUAUUGACCUUAAAAGCUUUCUUCACUCUUUUCAUUGUCUUAUUUUUAAUGCACUUUUCGUUUAACAAGUCAACAUCAGUUUCUUUUGUUGUAAAAGGGUCAUUGGAAGGUGGCUUUCUUUUCGGAGAAAGUGUUUAUAGCCUUUGAUCUCCUGCAAUCGGAGAGACUGAGGUCUGCAGCGUAGACUCUUCUGGAUUAGAUACAUUUGUGCUAAGCUAUAGCUUUUCAUAGACAACUUGUUGACUAUAGUUUAGUCAUUGUAGCUUACUCGCUUAUGCUAAUUUUACCUACGCUUAGGAUGUUGAUGUGAUACUGCGAGCA